rnacentral:rRNA from 1 species
UACGUAGGGGGCAAGCGUUGUCCGGAUUUAUUGGGCGUAAAGCGCUCGCAGGCGGCCCGAUGCGUCGUGCGUGAAACACCCCGGCUCAACUGGGGAGGGUCGUGCGAUACGGUCGGGCUUGAGGCCAGUAGGGGGAUGCGGAAUUCCGGGUGUAGUGGUGGAAUGCGUAGAUAUCGUCUGGAACGCCAAAGGUGAAAACAGACUGCUGGGAGUGUGCUGACGCUGAGACACGAAAGCCAGGGGAGCAAACGGG